rnacentral:rRNA from 1 species
UACAGAGGCCUCAAGCGUUAGGCGGAAUCACUGGGCUUAAAGCGUGUGUAGGCGGACUUCUAAGUGCCUUGUGAAAUCCCACGGCUCAACCGUGGAACUGCUGGGCAUACUGGGAGUCUUGGGCCAUUCAGGGGCAACUGGAACAAGCGGUGGAGCGGUGAAAUGCGUAGAUAUCGCUUGGAACGCCGAAGGUGAAAACAGGUUGCUGGGGAUGUGCAGACGCUGAGACACGAAAGCCAGGGGAGCAAACGGG